rnacentral:lncRNA from 1 species
AUCCAGAACAUACAUUGCUACCAGCUCUACACACACCUAGGUGAUGCCUACCAUAUACUCCGCAAAGUGGAUGGGUAAGACUACUGCUCACACUACCCUGGGUUUUGGAGCCUGGCACCCCAUUUCGAUGGUCAUUCCUGAACUUUGGUACUGGCGCCCUGACUGAAAGUGGAACUGGGCUUGAGAAUCUCUGACAGAACUGGGAGCGGUUACUACCCCC